rnacentral:rRNA from 1 species
GGGUUGUGAGGUUAAGCGACUAAGCGUACACGGUGGAUGCCCUGGCAGUCAGAGGCGAUGAAGGACGUGCUAAUCUGCGAAAAGCGCCGGCGAGGUGAUAUGAACCUUUGACCCGGCGAUGUCCGAAUGGGGAAACCCAGUGUGUUCCGACACACUAUCGUUAACUGAAUACAUAGGUUAACGAGGCGAACCGGGGGAACUGAAACAUCUAAGUACCCCGAGGAAAAGAAAUCAACCGAGAUUCCCCCAGUAGCGGCGAGCGAACGGGGAGCAGCCCAGAGUCUGAAUCAGCUUGUGUGUUAGUGGAAGCGUCUGGAAAGUCGCACGGUACAGGGUGACAGUCCCGUACACGAAAGCACACAGGUUGUGAACUCGAAGAGUAGGGCGGGACACGUGGUAUCCUGUCUGAAUAUGGGGGGACCAUCCUCCAAGGCUAAAUACUCCUGACUGACCGAUAGUGAACCAGUACCGUGAGGGAAAGGCGAAAAGAACCCCGGCGAGGGGAGUGAAAAAGAACCUGAAACCGUGUACGUACAAGCAGUGGGAGCACCUUCGUGGUGUGACUGCGUACCUUUUGUAUAAUGGGUCAGCGACUUAUAUUCUGUAGCAAGGUUAACCGUAUAGGGGAGCCGAAGGGAAACCGAGUCUUAACUGGGCGUUAAGUUGCAGGGUAUAGACCCGAAACCCGGUGAUCUAGCCAUGGGCAGGUUGAAGGUUGGGUAACACUAACUGGAGGACCGAACCGACUAAUGUUGAAAAAUUAGCGGAUGACUUGUGGCUGGGGGUGAAAGGCCAAUCAAACCGGGAGAUAGCUGGUUCUCCCCGAAAGCUAUUUAGGUAGCGCCUCGUGAACUCAUCUUCGGGGGUAGAGCACUGUUUCGGCUAGGGGGCCAUCCCGGCUUACCAACCCGAUGCAAACUACGAAUACCGAAGAAUGUUAUCACGGGAGACACACGGCGGGUGCUAACGUCCGUCGUGAAGAGGGAAACAACCCAGACCGCCAGCUAAGGUCCCAAAGUCAUGGUUAAGUGGGAAACGAUGUGGGAAGGCACAGACAGCCAGGAUGUUGGCUUAGAAGCAGCCAUCAUUUAAAGAAAGCGUAAUAGCUCACUGGUCGAGUCGGCCUGCGCGGAAGAUGUAACGGGGCUAAACCAUGCACCGAAGCUGCGGCAGCGACGCUUAUGCGUUGUUGGGUAGGGGAGCGUUCUGUAAGCCGUUGAAGGUGGCCUGUGAGGGUUGCUGGAGGUAUCAGAAGUGCGAAUGCUGACAUAAGUAACGAUAAAGCGGGUGAAAAGCCCGCUCGCCGGAAGACCAAGGGUUCCUGUCCAACGUUAAUCGGGGCAGGGUGAGUCGACCCCUAAGGCGAGGCCGAAAGGCGUAGUCGAUGGGAAACAGGUUAAUAUUCCUGUACUUGGUGUUGCUGCGAAGGGGGGACGGAGAAGGCUAUGUUAGCCGGGCGACGGUUGUCCCGGUUUAAGCAUGUAGGCGGAGGUUCCAGGUAAAUCCGGUACCUUUUAACGCUGAGGUGUGAUGACGAGGCACUACGGUGCUGAAGUAACAAAUGCCCUGCUUCCAGGAAAAGCCUCUAAGCAUCAGGUAACACGAAAUCGUACCCCAAACCGACACAGGUGGUCAGGUAGAGAAUACCAAGGCGCUUGAGAGAACUCGGGUGAAGGAACUAGGCAAAAUGGUGCCGUAACUUCGGGAGAAGGCACGCUGAUAUGUAGGUGAAGCCCCUGCGGGUGGAGCUGAAAUCAGUCGAAGAUACCAGCUGGCUGCAACUGUUUAUUAAAAACACAGCACUGUGCAAACACGAAAGUGGACGUAUACGGUGUGACGCCUGCCCGGUGCCGGAAGGUUAAUUGAUGGGGUUAGCGGCAACGCGAAGCUCUUGAUCGAAGCCCCGGUAAACGGCGGCCGUAACUAUAACGGUCCUAAGGUAGCGAAAUUCCUUGUCGGGUAAGUUCCGACCUGCACGAAUGGCGUAAUGAUGGCCAGGCUGUCUCCACCCGAGACUCAGUGAAAUUGAACUCGCUGUGAAGAUGCAGUGUACCCGCGGCAAGACGGAAAGACCCCGUGAACCUUUACUAUAGCUUGACACUGAACACUGGUCCUUGAUGUGUAGGAUAGGUGGGAGGCUUUGAAGCGUGGACGCCAGUCUGCGUGGAGCCGUCCUUGAAAUACCACCCUUUAAUGGCUGGUGUUCUAACGUAGACCCGUGAUCCGGGUUGCGGACAGUGUCUGGUGGGUAGUUUGACUGGGGCGGUCUCCUCCCAAAGAGUAACGGAGGAGCACGAAGGUUAGCUAAUCCUGGUCGGACAUCAGGAGGUUAGUGCAAUGGCAUAAGCUAGCUUGACUGCGAGAGUGACGGCUCGAGCAGGUGCGAAAGCAGGUCAUAGUGAUCCGGUGGUUCUGAAUGGAAGGGCCAUCGCUCAACGGAUAAAAGGUACUCCGGGGAUAACAGGCUGAUACCGCCCAAGAGUUCAUAUCGACGGCGGUGUUUGGCACCUCGAUGUCGGCUCAUCACAUCCUGGGGCUGAAGUAGGUCCCAAGGGUAUGGCUGUUCGCCAUUUAAAGUGGUACGCGAGCUGGGUUUAGAACGUCGUGAGACAGUUCGGUCCCUAUCUGCCGUGGGCGCUGGAGAAUUGAGGGGGGCUGCUCCUAGUACGAGAGGACCGGAGUGGACGCAUCACUGGUGUUCGGGUUGUCAUGCCAAUGGCACUGCCCGGUAGCUAAAUGCGGAAAAGAUAAGUGCUGAAAGCAUCUAAGCACGAAACUUGCCCCGAGAUGAGUUCUCCCUGACCCUUUAAGGGUCCUGAAGGAACGUUGAAGACGACGACGUUGAUAGGUCGGGUGUGUAAGCGCAGCGAUGCGUUGAGCUAACCGAUACUAAUGAACCGUGAGGCUUAACCUUACAACGCCGAAGCUGUU